rnacentral:rRNA from 1 species
UACGUAGGGCGCAAGCGUUAUCCGGAAUUAUUGGGCGUAAAGAGCUCGUAGGCGGUUUGUCGCGUCUGCUGUGAAAGACCGGGGCUCAACUCCGGUUCUGCAGUGGGUACGGGCAGACUAGAGUGAUGUAGGGGAGACUGGAAUUCCUGGUGUAGCGGUGAAAUGCGCAGAUAUCUGGAGGAACACCGGUGGCGAAGGCGGCAUCCUGGACCAAUUCUGACGCUGAGUGAGCGAAAGCCAGGGGAGCAAACGGG